CAUCUAUAAAUCCGAUCGACAGUCCAGCGCGCAAACUGCACGACCUGGCAGUCAGGAUCGUUAUCUGGGUACAUCUCUUAUGGCUAAAAUGACCAGUGUGUGUGUUUUGUAUCAAGGAUAUGCAUGUUGUUGGUUUUGAAAAAAUGUUUGAUGUGACUGCCAAGGCUUUUUACAAAUCUUUUGUAUCACAUACAACUCAAUUUACUUCUAUUGGCUGGAAAUAUUUAAAGCAUGACAGUGGCAUAGGUAAAUUACCAAAUAGUGGAUCUUAUGUUGGAUUGAUCAGCCCUGAUGAACUGACCUGACCAUUGUAAUUGAAACCAUAACUCAUGACCACUCUAUCUGUAUAGGUCCUGGUAUACCCUGGGAUGAUGUUCACCCACAACUUUUAACUUGAAAUCUUAAAGGAAGUUUUGCUAAACUAACAAGCAUGAAUGUCUGGUACAGUAAGAUAGGGUUAAUGGUCAACCUGACAUUAUGGUUCAUUCAUUGGGACAGCUAAUGUUUGUGUCUGACCAAGCAGUUCUCAAGUUAGGGCUUGAUGAAGUCUACAAACUGACCACUAUAUCUACUGGACAAAAAGGAUCAUAUUCUGACCCCCUCCCUCCCAACCAUUUUCUCUGCCUUAUC